AUUCAUUCUGCCCGCCUCUGUGGACUCCUUUACUAGGCGACCAGCCCUGAAACAGAAGUUGGACAUUUUUUAAAGGUUCUUGCGCUCGGCAAGGGGAGCAGAUAGAUGCUCAGGAGCGAAAGACGCAGAGAAUUGGAUCUGGCGCCUCCUAACGCAGCCCGCACAGGAGCGAAGGGUAAGCCCUUGUUGGUAGUUUAUAGAAGACAAGUCGGUGGAAAGGUGCAUGGUGCUCUGGGAUAGGUGGGGGGAACUCUAGUGCCCUUGAUGAAGCCCCUACAGGGCUUCUUAGCGGAGGUAUCGGCACCCUCCGUACAUACAUGGGUGUCAUUAGGUCCCUGUCCACUUACUAGUGUUUUUGACUACCCCAGCACUGGUCCUGGGUUGUCUUGUCCUCCCAUCAUGAGCAACAGUCAGGUCGACUUGGCUUGAGAAAAGCUAGCCCUAAACAUUCCUCCAGCCCCAGCUGUGGCGCCCUGCUAGGCCUGAUCUUGCGGGUAAAGAUGCUGAUAAAAUGACAUGGCAAGAGGGAGACGAUAAAGGGACAUUGUAGAUAGCAGGCUUUGAGCCUGACAUUUUAUUUCUGCCAUAACCCUGUGGGAUACUUGGAGCAGGUCAUUUUGCAGAUAGGGAAACUGAAGCUCAGAGAAAUUAUGAAUCUGAAUGAUUGCUGUGCUCCCAUAUGGUCCCCAGGCUAUCAGACAGACCUGUGGGGAGGACGUGGCUUCCCCACCAGGAGAUACGAUGUCACUAUCAGCAUCGUAUUGGCCGUCCUAAGAGACAGCUUCCCCCUCACUCACCUUAGAAGUUUCCUGUCCUAUCUGACUGUAGUCUUUCCCACCCAUCCUCAAAGGCUACUCUUUGAAGUUUGUUUUCAUUCAUGUUCACUAGCUGUAAAAAUCUUUUAAGCAGGGAUGAGGCUGGGAAACAUCAAAAUUUGUUUCCAAACUGAAAUCGCCCACGUUGGCUGCUGCGUGCAAUCAGUAGCCCUUCGUGUGAGUGCUGCCGGUUCUGCCUUCAGUCCGUCCAGAACCAUGGACCAUUUUAUUUGUUCCUGUCUUUCUCACAAGAACCCUUUAAGGGAAAUCGUCUUGUUCGUUCCCAUUUUGCAAAGGAGGAAAUUAGGACUAAGAAAAGCAAAGCCACUCACCCAGGAUCACAUAGCGCGUAUGUGCCGCUGCCAGGGCUCACACUGGAGCCUGGCUUGGCCAUCACGUGCUUUUUUUUUUUUUUUUUUUUUUUUUAGUAACUUACCAGCCUCACUACUGCCCCAUAAUGAAAUAAACAUGUUCAAAGGAGGCUGCAUGGGCUGGAGAGUGACGCAAAGUGAAUUAAGUGAAAUAAAGCAAAAAAUAUAUAAUAGAAUGCUUCAUCUAAUUAAUUCUUUUUUCUCCCUGAGGCCCUUCUUUCUCUCCAAGUGGCCUCAUAGUGGCCCCAAAAGCUGGCAUCAGAAAAAGGUCCAAUGGCAGCCACCUUAGUAUAAAAACAGUUAAGUCCAUCUAUCACCUCCACGAGGAGUUCCUGGCCUGUCAGAGUGGGAAGGGGCUGGGUAGUCACCUCAUUUAAUCCCCCCCCUUUACAAACCUCGAGGAAACCGCAAACACGAGAAAAGAAUGGGCCAGCCGGGGGUUUGUUCCCCUUGGCCUCCCCCAGAAUGCCUGCCCUGCUGCCGGGUCCUAAGUGGCCACUCAAUAAAUGUUGGGCCCUUGAUGAAUCACCUUCCCCCUCGAUAUUUGCAUUUUCUCUUUAUCAGUAAUUGGCAGAUGAAAGGCUUUGUCCUCCAGUUGAAAGAAUUCCAAGCAUUUGCUCAAAGUGGGGGAGGAGGUUAUUUUGGACCAAAGGGGGAAGGGCCAAGACCCUGGAGCUCCCAGUGUUGACUAAUUGUCCCAGAGAAGUGGAGAGUAGGUAAGGGAAGAGAGAAGGUGAAGGUGCUUACCCCAGAGAUGUACUUUUUCUUGCAGGAAAACACCGGGCCGGUUGUAUUGGAAACAUAAUAAUAAUUAUUUCCUGGACCCUCCUGCUCGAUCUUACAAAGGGCCCAGUCAAAUCCUGCCUGAGUUACCCCCAUUCAUUCUUCAUUCAUCAAAGGUUGAUUGAGCAACUCUGUGCCCAAAGACAGAGAGGCUAGAGAAAAGAAGAUGCAGCGUGGGGCAUGCAGAUUGGGGCAUACUCGAGGCUGGGUAGGACGAUGGACCUGCAGCUUCCCAAGGAAAGGGUGGACACUGGAUGUAGCUCUCAGAAACCAGAAUCUUGAUAAGAAAUUGAAGUUGUUCUCAUAUUCAUAUAUGAUUAUCAUAACUCCUGAUUUUUCUUUUCUUUUUUUUGAGAGAGGGUCUUGCUCUGUUGCCCAGGCUGGAGUGCAGUGACACAAUCUCAGCUCACUGCAACCUCCACCUCCUGGACUCAGCAAUGCUCCACCUUAGCCUUCCAAGUAGCUGAGACUACAGGAGUGCACCACCAUGCCCAGCUAAUUUUUGUAUUUUUGGUAGAGACAGGGUUUUGCCGUGUUGCCCAGGCUGGUCUCCAACUCCUAGGCUCAAGUGUUCCUCCCACCUCGGCCUCCCAAAGUGCUGAGAUUACAGCCGUAAGCCACCACACCUGGCCCUGUUUUGUUUUAAUUUAAGGAUAUCUAAUCAUUCCACAUCAGCAUAUGUGGAAUGCUAUAGCACAUCAGCUAUAGUUUCCUUAUUCUUUCUAAUGAUUUCAUAGCAUUUCAUUGGGCAGAUAAAUGGUGCAAGAAUGAUUUAAUUAGUUCCCUAACUUUUAGAUGGUUUUCAAUCUUUUUCUAUUGCAAACAGAGCUAUAAGGGAUUGCAGCUUUGUGCUUGAGUCUGUCAGUAGAAUAUAUAUCUGAAAGUGAUCAUCCACGUCUCAGGAUUCCUACCCUAUCACCAACUAUUUGUCCUUGAGAAGUUUAUUUGUAAGAUCUGAGCAGGUGGGACAACCUCAUAUCCAACUGGUAUCCCCAGGAGUCUACGCAGUGCCAUGCCCUUGGCAGGCACUCAGAGAGAGUGGUUUAAGGGCUAACACUGCAAGCAUUCACACUGUAAUCAGAUGGCCUCUUCUAGGAAACCUUUGCUGAUAUCCUUGGCCCCCUUUCCCCAUGGACCCUUCAUUCAUUCCACAAAUGUUUGUGGAAGGUUGAUUAGGGGGACCCUGUAUCAAAUCAGCCUCUUAGGUAUAUAUAGCCUGGUAGGUGAGUUAAAACAAAUUCUGGAAAGCACUCUAAGGCUGUGCUGUUUGAUGGGAUACAUUAGCUACAUACAGCUACUUAAAUUUAAUUAAAAUAAAAUGUAAAAUUCAGCUCCUUAACCCAGUACCUACAUUUGAAGGGGCUAGAAGUGACAGCACUGAAUGGUGCAGAUACAGAAUAUCCCUAUCAUUGGCUGGGCGCUGUGGGUCACACCUGUAAUCCCAGCAUUUUGGGAUGCUGAGGCAGGUGGAUCACCUGAGGUCAGGAGUUCAAGACCAGCCUGGCCAACAGGAUGAAACCCCCGUCUCUAUUAAAAAUACAAAAAUUGGACAAGCGUGGUGGUGCACACCUGUAAUCCCAGCAACUCGGGAGGCUGAGGCAGGAGAAUUGCUUGAACCCAGGAGGCAGAGUUUGCAAUGAGCUGAUUGCACCACUGCACUCAAGCCUGGGUGACAGAGGGGGAUUCUGUCUCAAAAAAAAAAAAAGAAUAUCUUGAAUAACUCUAUCAUCUUCUGUGGGACAGCCCUGAAGGGAGGCUUAGCAUAGUGGGCAACCCUGUGGGCUCUGGAUUCCUGUAAGCUCUGAGUUCGAAUCCUAUCAUUAUUUCCUAGCUAUAAAAUUUGGCCAAGCAAGUUAACCUGUCUUUGAGCCUCAGCCAUAAAGGUGGGGAAUUACAGCCCCUUAUGGAGAUUUGGCAAGGAUUCAAAGGUACUGCAAAUGUGAGGGGCUUUGCACAAAGUCAUAGUAAUAUUAUAAAAAAUCUGGAGUGAAGCCAGGCGCAGUGGCUCAUGCCUAUAAUCCCAGCAAUUUGGGAGGCCAAGGCGGACAGAUCACCUGUGCUCAGGAGUUCGAGACCAGCUUGGGCAACAUGAUAAAACCCUAUCUCUACUAAAAAUACAAAAAUUAGCUGGGUGUGGUGGCGUGCGCCUGUAGUCCCAGCUACUCAGGAGGCUGAGGCACAAGAACCGCUUGAACCCAGGAGGCAGAGGUUGCAGUGAGCCAAGAUCAUUCACUGCACUCCAGCCUGGGUGACAUCCCGAGACUCCGUCUCCAAACCAAAACGAAACUAAACAACAUGCAGAAUACUAAUAAUACUAAGUUGUGCGGACCAUGUAAGGAAACCAAAAGGGUUAUGUCUGUAUCUACAUGCUUUUUUUUUUUUUUUUUUUUUUGUGAGACAGAGUCUUGCUAUAACACCCAGGCUGGAGUACAAUGGCACAAUCUCGGCUCACUGAAACCUCCGCCUCCCGGGUUCAAGCAAUUCUCCUGCCUCAGCCUCCCAAGUAGCUGGGACUACAGGCGCAUACCACCAUGCCCGGCUGAUUUUUGUGUUUUUAGUAGAGACAGGGUUUCACCAUACUGGCCAGGCAGGUCUCAAACUUCUGACCUCAGGUGAUCCGCCCAUCUCGGCCUCCCAGACUGCUGGGACUACAGGCAUGAGCCACCGUGCCCGACCCAUACAUUCUUUAGUAUGUGCAGAAUUUCCUUUGGAAAGAUCAAAAAGUGAGAAAAAGAACUGGGAAAAGAGAAGAAAGCCUAUUUUUUGGUAAAGUGAUAUUUUUACCACAUAUGUACAUGAACGGUGCCUGAUUUUAAACCUUAUUGACUUAAUCUCAUUUUAGAUGCUGUAGUACCUCUUGAAUUUUGUACCGCACAGAUGUAUUACCUACUCAAAAAUAAUUCCAUUUUAUUCCUUUUUUAAGUCUAUAAGAUUCAAAAUCAGGCAAACCUAAACCAAAACUAAAUUUUUUUUUUUUUUUUGAGACAGGGUCUUGCUCUGUCACCCAGGCUCUGGUGUGCAGUGGUGUGAUCACAGCUCACUGUAGCCUCCACCUCCCGCGCUCAGGCAAUGCUCCCACCUCAGACUCCCGAGUAGCUGGGACUUGUAGGCAUGCAAGACCAGGCCCAGCUAAUUUUGGUACUUUUUGUAGGGACUCUGUUUUGCCAUGUUACUCAGGCUGUUCUCAAACUCCUGAGCUCAAGUGAUCCACCCCUCAGCCUCCCAAAGUGGGGGAUUACAGGCUAAAUAUUCUUUAGAUAUAGAUACAUAAGUCACAAAACAGGAAUAAAAGCAAGGAAUGAUUAACACAAAAUGCUGCAAAAGACCAUUCAGGAAAGGAAUGUGAACAGAGAUACUAGUGACUUUCUGUUUCUUAAUCCACCUGCUGGGCAUCUAAGACUGUUCCUUAAAGUAUAGUUAAAUAUUUUUCAGAUUCUAUUGUAUUUAUGAGAUAUUCCACAAUUUUUUCUUUUUCUUUUUUUUCUUUUUUUUUUUGAGACGGAGUCUCGCUCUGUCGCCCAGGCUGGAGUGCAGUGGCAUGAUCUCGGGUCACUGCAACCUCUGCCUCCCUGGUUCAAGCGAUUCUCCUGCCUCAGCCUCCUGAGUAGCUGGGACUACAGGCAAAUGCCGCCACACCCAGCUAAUUUUUGUAUUUUUUGUAGAGACGGGGUUUUGCCAUGUUGGCCAGGCUGGUCUCGAACUUCUGAGCUCAGGUGAUCUGCCCGCCUCAGCCUCCCAAAGUGCUGGGAUUACAGGCCUGAGGCACUGCGCCCAGCCUUAUUUUCUUGUAUUAUUGUAUCACAGAAAUAUACACACCAGCCAGGUGCUGUGGCUCAUGCCUGUAAUCCCACCACUUUGGAAGGCCAAGGUGGGCAGAUCAUUUGAGGUAAGGAGUUGGAGACCAGCCUGGUCAACAUGAUGAGACCCUGUCUCUACUAAAAAUACAAAAAUUAGCCAGGCAUGGCGACACGCGCCUGUAAUCCCACCUACUCAGGAGGCUGAGGCAGGAAAAUUGCUUAAACCCGGGAGGCAGAGAUUGCAGUGAGCCAAAAUCAUGCCACUGCACUCCAGCAUGGGUGACUAAGCAAGUCUCCAUCUCAAAAAAAAAAAAGAAAGAAAGAAAGAAAUAUACACACCAUCUCUCAUCUUGCCUUUCACUGACUAUAAUCUUGGACCCCUUUCCACGUGCUAUCUGUAGAACUGCCAUUCUAAAGUAUUAUUUAGGCUGGGCGCGGUGGCUCACGCCUGUAAUCCCAACACUGGGAGGCUGAGGCAGGCGGAUCACCUGAGGUCAAGAGUUGGAGACCAGCCUGGCCAACAUGGUGAAACCCCGUCUCUACUAAAAAUACCAAAAAUUUGUUGGGCGUGGCGGCAUGUGCCUGUAAUCCCAGCUACUCGGGAGGUUAAGACAGGAGAAUCGCUGGAACCCGGGAGUCAGAGGUUGCAGUGAUCCGAGAUCGCACCAUUGCACCCCAGGGGCCUAGACAACAAGAGCGAAACUUCGUCUCAAAAAAAAAAAAAAAGAAAAGAAAAAGAAAAAAAGUAUUAUUUAAGUGUUACAUAAAUCUGAGUGUUGUGAUAGAAAAUUCGAUUGGUUUUAAAAAGUCACAGAGUAAAGUGUAUAUUAUGACCCAUUUAUGUCAAAACAAGCUAUUUAUAGUAAUAUUUGUAUAUAUAUAUGUGUGCCCCCCCACCAAAAAAAAAAAAAGAUAAGAAAGGCUUGGAGACUGGGCACGGUGGCUCACUCCUGUAAUCCUAGCACUUUGGGAGGCUGAGGCAGAUGGAUCACCUGAGGUCAGGAGUUCGAGACCAGUCUGGCCAACAUGGCGAAACCCUGUCUCUACUAAAGAUACAAAAAUUAGCUGGGCGUGGUGGCGCUCGCCUGUAAUCCCAGCUACUUGAGAGGCUGAGGAAGGAGAAUCGCUUGAACCUGGGAGGUAGAAGUUGCAAUGAGCCGAGAUCAUGCCACUGCACUUCAGCCUGCCCAACGGGAGCAAGACUCCAUCUCAAAAAAAAAAAAAAGAAAGGCUUGGAAUUGCGCGGCAAACCACUACCUUUGAUUCCCUCACAGGAGGGGAGAAAAUUUUAACGGGGUUAUAUUUAUAUAUUAUUUGCGUCUUUAACAACAAUUUUGACCUUUUACAUUUGUCAAAUAUUUCAAACAUAAUGAAAGUUAUAAAAUAAAUAAAGAGGGCCUAGUGCAGUGGCUCACGCGUAUAAUCCUAACAUUUUGGGAGGCUCAGGCAGGCAGAUCACCUGAGGUCAGGGGUUCGAGACCAGCCUGGGCACCAUGGCAAAGCCCCGUCUCUACUAAAAAUACACAAAUUGGCCAGCUGGGAUUACAGGUGCCCACCACCAUGCCUGGCUCAUUUUUGUGUUUUUAGUAGAGGCAGGGUUUCACCAUGUUGGCCAGGCUGCUCUCGAACUCCAGACCUCAGGUGGAUGCACCCGCCUCGGCCUCCCAAAGUGCUGGGACUACAGGCGUGUGCCACCGCGCCCAGCGAAUUCUUCAUUUUAUAAUCUGUCUCUUCCACUGUGAGGGUUGAAAGGAACACUGAAUAUAACAGGUGAGUUAAUUAAGGGGUUAAUGCCAGGAAGAGUCACGAAAGUUCAAAGAUUCUUUAAAAAACUUGUCUUUUUAGGGCGGGCGCGGUGGCUCACGCCUGUAAUCCCAUCACUUUGGGAGGCCGAGGCGUGUGGAUCACCUGAGGUCAGAAGUUUGAGACCAGCCUGGCCAACAUGGUGAAACCCCCCCUCUACUAAAAAUACAAAAAUUAACCGGGCGUGGUGGCGCGUGCCUGUAAUCACAGCUACUAGCGGGGCUGAGGCAGGAAGAUCGCUUGUACCCGAGAGGCGGAGGUUGUGGUGAGCCGAGAUCGCGCCACUGCACUCCAGCCUGGGCAACAGAGCGAGACUCUGUCUCAAAAAAACAAAAAAGAAAAAAAAGAAAAAAAAAAAAAAAAAUUGCCUCUUUGGAUUGAUGGACAAGUACUUUAACCAAUGGAAAUAAAAAUCUAAGCAUUACUUCAUCAUACUCAAUUGUGAUUGGUUGACGAUCCCCGAGGGAGGGCUCAGAGGGCUGGCAAUUAACCCUUUCAGGGAAAAUCAGGCCUUUUGCAUUUAUUUUAUUUUAAAGUUGAAGUAGUAACAGAUGAAAAGCCUACAAAAGUCCCCGGACUUUCAAAUACCACAUUUCAGUCUUAGCCCAGAAAGCAGGAUUUCGCCCCACAAAGGAAUAGUCAAGGACAAAUUUCCUGGAGAAAAGUUUUGAACUUUUAGAACGGGGAAUCCGCUGACCUCGCUGAGUAAGUGAGAAGGUUGAUUCACUUUUUGUGCUGUUGGAACAGGGACCAGUGUUGGAGAUGAUUCCAUUAAUCUUGCGAAGUGAUCAGUCACUGGGAGGAUUGAAUUGCAUUUCCUGCCUAAAGAUAGAGACAGAUGACCUUUGCUGCAGCCCUCAGACCCCCAGUUCACAGCUGGGGAGAGGAUGUGUCAGCGUUUACUUUCAGGUCUCACCCUGCCCUUUGUUCAAAAUUCAGACUCUUUUGUGUUUAGGCUGCUGCUGGGGUUUUUGUAGUUGUUGAUGCUGCUUUUUUUUUUUUUUUUUUUUUUUUUUUUAUAUAACCGCCCACAUCCUGCAACUUCUGAGAAACAAACUCUCUAUUUGGUAGAAGAUAAAAUCUGGAGGUGCCUCGGAGAGGGAACCAGAAUAGACAGGGAAUUCCGACAGGCCAUUGGGCCUUUAGGCUUUAAUUACUGCCCUCACCCCUUCCUGGACUCCCUAAAUGCUGCAGGCUGAACUGGAUGGAGCCAAAAGUCCAGCAAAAUGAAUAACAAUGCUUCGUGUUUAUAUGGCUCUACUACAAGAAAGCUUUUACACACAUUACCUCAUGGAAGAGGCACUGCUAAAGCAGAAGUAUUUACAUAAAUGAACAUUCGCAGUUCCUAAAUGUAGUCAGCUGCAUGACCUAGGACAAAGUGUCCAAACUUAAGUCUCAGUUUUCUCAUCUGUAAAAUGGGGUCACAUGAAAGUUACCAGAGGAGGCCGGGCGCAGUGGCUCACGCCUGUAAUCCCAGCACUUUGGGAGGCUGAGGUGGGCGGAUCACAAGGUCAGGAGAUGGAGACCAUCCUGGCGAACACGGUGAAACCCCAUCUCUACAAAAAAUUAGCAGGGCGUGGUGGCUGGCACCUGUAGUCCCAGCUACUCAGGAGGCUGAGGCAGGAGAAUGGCGUGAACCCAGGAGGCGGAGCUUGCAGUGAGCCGAGAUCUCGCCACUGCACUCCAGCCUGGGUGACAGAGCGAGACUCCAUCUCAAAAAAAAAAAAGUUACCAGAGGGUCAAGGCGCGAUGGCUCACACCUGUAAUCCCAGCACUUUGGGAGGCCGAGGCAGGCAGAUCCCCUGAAGUCAGGAGUUUGAGACCAACUUGGCCAACAUGGGGAAGCCCCAUCUCUACUAAAAACAUAAAACUUAGCUGGGCAUGGUGGCUCAUGCCUGCAAUCUCAGCUACUUGGGAGGCUGAGGCAAGAGAAAUGCUUGAACCUGGGAGGCGGAGGUUGCAGAGCCUAGAUCGUGCUACUGCACUCCAGCCUGGGUGACAGCAAGACUACGUCUCAAAAAAAGAAAGAAAGAAAGAAAGAAAGAAAAAGAAAAAUAGGCCGGGCGAGGUGUCUCAUGUCUGUAAUUCCAGCACUUUGGGAGGCCAAGGCAGGCAGAUCACCUGAGGUCGGGAGUUCGAGACAAGCCUGACUAACAUGGAGAAACCCCGUCUCUACUGAAAAUACAAAAUUAGCCAGGCAUGGUGGCGCAUGCCUGCAAUCCCAGCUACUUGGGAGGCUGAGGCAGGAGAAUCGCUUGAACCCGAGAGGUGAAGGUUGCGGUGAGCCAAAAUCACACCAUUACACUCCAGCCUGAGCAACAAGAGCAAAACUCCAUCUCAAAAAAUAAUAAUAAUAAAAUAGUUACCCGACAAUUGAAUGAGCCAAUGUUCUAUAACAGGACUCAAUAAAUGGUGUGUCUUAAUUAAAAUGAGGUUGACCUCCUGGGCUCCAGAACGAUGACAGCUAGCUGUGGAUUGGGCAAAUUUAGCUUUUCCCCAAGGGGAACGCCUUGGGGAAGCCUGCCUGGAAUGUAUGGAUUGAGUCCCCUUGCUUGUACAUCCUGUCCCUCACCAGACUCCAAAGUCUGACCGUGCUGAACUAUUUUGAGUUCUUUGACUAAACCUGCUCUUUCCUCCUCUAGACCUUUGCAUAUGCCAGUCUAUUCCCGCAGCCCUUCUUCCCUCCUGUUUCUCCUGGAAUCUGCUUUGCUCUCUCUCUUUCCUGCCCCCUCCCAGUAAUUACCACAUCAUCUUACUGUUGCCUGUGCCUUCACCAGACUGUAAGCCCUGGAGGGCAGUACCUGGUCUGUCUCAUUCAUGGAUAUAGCUCUAGCAAAGUGCCUGCAUGUUCUCUAAAAAUACUUGUGGUUUUUUUUUUAUUAUUUUAUUUUUUUGAGACGGAGUCUCACUCUGUCG
rnacentral:lncRNA from 1 species